rnacentral:tRNA from 1 species
GAGGGUAUGGCUCAGUGGUAGAGCAUUUGCUUAGCAUGCAUGAGAUCCUGGGUUCAAUCCCUAGUACCACCA